UACGUAGGGUGCAAGCGUUGUCCGGAAUCAUUGGGCGUAAAGCGCGUGUAGGCGGUUCGGUAAGUCCGCUGUGAAAGUCGGGGGCUCAACCCUCGGAUGCCGGUGGAUACUGUCGAGCUUGAGUACGGAAGAGGCGAGUGGAAUUCCUGGUGUAGCGGUGAAAUGCGCAGAUAUCAGGAGGAACACCAAUUGCGAAGGCAGCUCGCUGGGACGUUACUGACGCUGAGACGCGAAAGCGUGGGGAGCAAACAGG
rnacentral:rRNA from 1 species